GAUGAACGCUGGCGGCGUGCCUAAUACAUGCAAGUCGAGCGAACGGACGAGAAGCUUGCUUCUCUGAUGUUAGCGGCGGACGGGUGAGUAACACGUGGAUAACCUACCUAUAAGACUGGGAUAACUUCGGGAAACCGGAGCUAAUACCGGAUAAUAUUUUGAACCGCAUGGUUCAAAAGUGAAAGACGGUCUUGCUGUCACUUAUAGAUGGAUCCGCGCUGCAUUAGCUAGUUGGUAAGGUAACGGCUUACCAAGGCAACGAUGCAUAGCCGACCUGAGAGGGGGAUCGGCGACACUGGAACUGAGACACGGUCCAUACUCCUACGGGAGGCAGCAGUAGGGAAUCUUCCGCAAUGGGCGAAAGCCUGACGGAGCAGCGCCGCGUGAGUGAUGAAGGUCUUCGGAUCGUAAAACUCUGUUAUUAGGGAAGAACAUAUGUGUAAGUAACUGUGCACAUCUUGACGGUACCUAAUCAGAAAGCCACGGCUAACUACGUG
rnacentral:rRNA from 1 species